rnacentral:rRNA from 1 species
AUUGAACGCUGGCGGCAUGCCUUACACAUGCAAGUCGAACGGUAGCACGGGUGCUUGCACCUGGUGGCGAGUGGCGAACGGGUGAGUAAUAUAUCGGAACGUACCUUAUUGUGGGGGAUAACGCAGCGAAAGCUGUGCUAAUACCGCAUAAUCCCUAAGGGGGAAAGCGGGGGACCGUAAGGCCUCGCGCAAUUAGAGCGGCCGAUACCUGAUUAGCUAGUUGGUGAGGUAAAGGCUCACCAAGGCAACGAUCAGUAGCUGGUCUGAGAGGGGGAUCGGCCACACUGGGACUGAGACACGGCCCAGACUCCUACGGGAGGCAGCAGUGGGGAAGUUUGGACAAUGGGGGCAAACCUGAUCCAGCAAUGCCGCGUGAGUGAAGAGGGCCUUCGGGUUGUAAAGCUCUUUUGUCAGGGAAGAAACAGCAGCUCUAACACAGUAUGCGAAUGACGGUACCUGAAGAAUAAGCACCGGCUAACUACGUGCCAGCCGCCGCCGUAA